rnacentral:rRNA from 1 species
AACGAACGUUGGCGGCGUGGAUUAGGCAUGCAAGUCGAGCGGGAUCCUGCUUUUUCAAUUCUUCGGAAGAGAAGCUGCGGGUGAUAGCGGCGAACGGGUUAGUAAUAAAUGGGUAAUUUGCCUCUUUGUUCGGAAUAGCCAUCGGAAACGAUGAUUAAUGCCGGAUGUGUUCGGGAACUGCAUAGUUCCUUAUAUAAAGGCGGGGAUUCUUCGGAACCUGUCGCAAAGAGAUAAGCCCAUUUCCUAUCAGCUAGUUGGUGAGGUAAUGGCUCACCAAGGCUUACGGGUAGUUGGUCUGAGAGGAUGAUCAGCAACACUGGGACUGAGACACUGCCCAGACUCCUACGGGAGGCUGCAGUCGAGAAUCAUUGUCAAUGCACGAAAGUG